GCCCGGUUAGCUCAAUCGGUAGAGCGUAAGACUCUUAGGUUACGGGAGUUUAAACCCUGUUUCCAUGGCAAUCUUAAGGCUGUGGGUUCGACCCCCACAUCGGGCU